rnacentral:lncRNA from 1 species
ACACAGAAACUGAGGAUGAACAGGAAGAUGUAAUUGGUUAAGAUAAGAUCAUACUGGAUGUGGAUGGGUCCUAGAUCUGACUGCUGAUAUCCUUAUAAGAAGAAGAAAGGACACGCGGAGACUACAGUGAUGUUGCCACAAGCCAAGAAAUGCCAAGAAUUUCGGGAGCCACCAGAAGAUGGAAGAGGCAGGGAAAAAUCCUCCCCUAAAGCCUUCAGAGAGAGCAUAGCUCUGCCAACACCUUGAUUCUGGACAUCUAGCCUCUUAAACUUCCUCAGGUGUCUCAUUUCUUCUGUCUCAGAAGUCAUGGAUGUCAAUGAAGAUAUGGAAUUCACUUAUUCAUUCUUAUAAAUAUUACUUAGUGUCCUUGUGCUUGGCACUGUGCUUGGUCAUUGAGAUCUACUGUUCAAAAGCAAGAUAACAUACAGGCUGGAAUAGCGAGAUGCAAGAAUCCCAAGCCUUCAAAGCCAGCUCCUGCAGAAGAGAGAGGGCCUGGCAGCUGAGCUGGAUGCUUCAGGAGCAGAGGAUCUAUCAACUGCAGACCAAGCACAGGGAGACGCAGGCAAACCUGGAACAGUAACCCAGCCAGCUCCAAUUGCUCCGACAGUACUUGGUGGCCAGAGAGUCGGCAGCAGAAAGCAUGCCCCGGGCCGUGAAGCAGGAAAUCGACUCUGACUCAAUCCUUGAGGUCUGUAUUACAUCUGGGAGUACAACUUGAAGGGCCCCACACUCUUGUUUCUCAGCACCUCAUAAAUCUAAGCCCACGUGAAGUGAACAGAGCAUCCCUUCUUCAAGAGAAUGGAAAAAGAAAGGAUGCUGAGGAGGAACUGUUGGGGGCAGAGCCCUUGAAGCCAGCUGGCAAGACUGAGACCACUGAUCAAUGCUUUGCCCACUGAAAGGACAACCUUAUAAAGAAUUGGAACCAUUAAGCUUUAAUUUUUAGAAAUUUGGAUGCUAGAGGGAAUGGUCUUUAGGGACCGCUGCGGUCCCUAAACCCAUCAUCUGCUCUGGUGCCAGGAUACAAAUCUGUUCGCCCUGAAUCCUUCAUCUGCUUGGAUGUCCAGGAUACAAUCUUUUCAGUUUGGGAACUUCUGACUGUUUUUCUCAGGUGUCUGCCUUGCUUCAAUGCUUAUAUCUUGAACAUUGUGUCUUUACGUGUCUGCCUUCGGCAGGUUUCAUUAAUUUGUAAUUUAUGCCUACAAAAUUGUUUAAGCACUUCUGGAUCUUACACUGGUCAAGGGUGUGUAUUAGUGGGUGUGUGUGCACUAUACAGACUGUGGGGCAGAAUCUACUGGGUUUUGUUUUUCCUGAUUUUAAAAUGUUUAGUCAUUCUGAUCCAUACGUGUGAGUUAAUAAGUGUGUGUCUCUGUAUCUUGGUGCAAGUGUCUGUACUCGGGAAGCAGUGAACACAAGCAGUUUAGAAUAGUAUUCCACAUUUCUCUACCAUUUGCAUUAACUGUGUCUUUCCAAAAUGCAUAUUCAGCUUCAUUUUUUUUUUUUAUUCAGAGGUGGUAGUUUUCAAACUCAAAUCUAGCUCAUUUGUCUCUUUUAGCACAUGAUUGAGGAUUAGGGACUAUUCUAACUGGCAGUCAAGGGUCAGUAUUUUGGACUCCAUUUGGCUUAGAUAAUUUAUAUAGAAUAAAAGUCUAACAGGUAUAAUCACAAUAGCCUUGGCUUAAUAAUUUUCCAAGCAUACUUGAAGUUGAAAAACACUUCAAACUAAAAUUGGAAGAAUGUUCUGGUUAGUAAGUUGUAUGCUUCUGUAAUAAUGGAGAGAAUUGGAAUGCAGUUCUCUUUGUUUGAUUUAUAUGGCAACACCAAGAAUGUGAGACGUGUGUUUUACUGUAGAAAUAAACUUUCAACAUUGACCUAGAGAACAGAAGACUCAGGUUGGUACUUAAAUCCUGCUCUGCUAGGUUAUAAUGAAAAGCAUCUUAAUAAGAAUAGAUUUUUUAGGAAGAAAAAUCUUAAGAUUCAUGUCUUUCUCUCAUUGUUUGCAAUAUUUGUCAACAUUUGCUUGCAUGAUUCCUACGAAGAACAAGCUUAUUUGGAGAAAGUGAUCUAAAUUUUAGAAUUGAAUGUACUCCACUAAUUAAAUGUGUAUGUCCUUGUGAUCUUAGUGCCACUAAAUCUAAAUAGCACAUACGUAAAUUCACUGCUGUCUUAUGCUACAAGUCAUAUUUGAAAGCUUGUUGCCAGCCCUAAGAAAGUGAUUUUAUUAUGGAGUUAUCUAAUGGCUUCAGAUAACACGUUUCAUUGUCUACAGUCUUGUAAGAAUUUAACUCUUAUGUUAUAGAUAUUUCAUAUGCUACAUUUACAUUUUAUAUUUUAUACAUAUAGAGAUCUUUAAAAUUCUAUCUGUCUAAAAGGUUUCCUCUUCAAUGUAUUUUAUAAUACAAUGAUAGAAAAUUUCACUUUAUUUCUAUAUUCAAAACAUAAAGUGUUAUAAUAUUGAUAUUUCACCUUUAUUUCCAUUUUAAUAACAUGUAUUAUGUUUCAAACCUUUCUAAGCAUCUUGACAUACUCAUUUGAUCUUUAGAGCAAUUUACAAGAUAAGUUAGAGCAGAAGUCAUUAUCUUCAUUUUACCAAUAAUAAAACAUGCACAAGGUGACACAGAUAUUAGUGUCAGACUUGAAGCUGUGGCCUGAAGCUAAGGACUCCUGGUCAAGUACUCUUUCCACAGCUACUGCUGCUUCUGUUAAUGUUUGAUAACUUUUUAGCAUACUCUGUAUUUCCAGUACCUAUUAUAACCAUUACAAUGCAUGUAACGCAAAUGUUGGUUGCUCUUAGACGAUCCUUAGCAUUCUAACCACAUAAGAAAAAGUAGCAAAUAAGUAUUUCAGGCAUCUUUCUUGGGCUUUUAUCACAGCACAACCUGCUGCAGAGUCUGAUGUCAUGAUGGACCUUUAUUGUCAGCUUCAGAAAUUCUGGGUGAGCUAUUAAUAUGCUUAAUGAUUUUGCUCCCCAGCAACAUGUUCCUAUGAAAACAUGGUGAGUAUAUAUUACUCACUAUGUUUCACAAAACAAUUGUGUACAUAUUUUGUCUUCAUACCUAUCAACAUUUGCCUUAAAGACACAUUAUGUAUAAUUUGAAACAUCCAUGAGGCUUUUCCUUUUCCUGGAAUAACUAGCACCCCUUCUCCAACCUCUUCCCCAUUCAGGGGUUCUUGACCUUCACUGUGUUAUGGACCCCACUGCCAAUCUGCCAUAGACCUAAAGCCUAUGGACCUUUCUUAGUAUAAUGCUUUUAAAUAUAUAAAAUAAAGAAUAAAGCAUGUAGAAUUACAAAGAAAUUCAAUUUAUAUUGAAAUUCAGCUAUCAAAAUAUUAAAAUCAAUUAAAUAUUAACACCAAUAUUUGGUAUGAUAAUAUGGAUAGUUUCUAUUAAUGCAUUAAUAAAGCCCAGUGGUUGGUGUACUACUAUAAUUUUAAAGCAGUGAUGAGCAUAAGGGAUAUUUUGAAAUAUCUACAGUAUCUGAUAUGUAGCUAUGGUUUCUAUUGGUGACAUUGUCACUAACGUUAAUAUUACGGUAGUUUAUUUUCUACAUUUAUUUUUUUCACUUUUACAUCCAUUAUAUUUAAUUUGAUUCUUACAACAACCUUGUGCGGUAGGCAAGAUGUGAAGUCAAUACUUUAUAGACAAAGAAGCUGAAGCGUAGCAGGAGCUUAACUGAUGAGAUCCAUUUUCUCUUCCAUCAAGCAUCUUCUUGUGUAUUGUCUUAAUCCAAAUCCUUGACAGAAAUGCUGAAGAGGACCUCUGUAGGCUAGGUUGAUCCUGAAUUCUCAAAUAGCACUGACUGGUACGCAGUUUAACCAAGUCAGUUUCACCUAAAAGUGUGAUUAUCCAACCCACAUGUUGCCAUUCUGUUAAAAAGGAUGGUACAAAAGACAGUCACAGUCACCUGGCUUACUGACAUAAAUAUUAAUAUUAAUCCAAUAAGUAAAAAGCACAUGAGAAUUGGCUGCCACAGAAAGAAAAAUUUCGACCUGUAUCUACCAAGAAACUAUCUUACCAACUAAAGAAGCCAAAUCUGUCUCUCUUUCAAAACCCUCAUGGGGCCAUGUUUUAUUAUAAUGGUUUGUCACAGGUCCUAACCCAUACUGUAUUUGAUUAUAUACAUGUCUCAUAAUUAAGUCAUUCCUCUUUAUCACACCCAGCACUUAGUCCACUGCUGCCCAUGUAGGAGGCACUCAAAUUGGUAAAAGAGAAAUCUAUUCAAGCGAAUAUUCUUCCAAUAUUAUCUGGCCCCCCUCCAAAAGCAAACUUGUGACUAGAAGAGGCACCAGUCAUUGCCACAUUCCUACUAACACGACUGAUUUAAAUGCCCUUGUAAUUGACUUGGUCAUAGUUUCCAACAGGUGCAAAGGCUUUUGCUAGUUAAACCAGUUUUCAUUGGAUCAUUUUGUUUUAUAUGUGUGUUUUGACCAAAAACAAAGAUACGUUCUCUAACAACAGGGAGAGGAUACAUGCAAUAGGAAUAUGUCUAUAAAAUGAUGGUCUAUCAAUAAGGAAAAUAAGUGAUUAAUAAAACAAAACAUCCGACUGUAAGUCUACCCAAAGAAAGGAAAAAGGACUCACAAACAAGAAUAUAGUGCUUUACCAUUUACAUAUCUUUCACAUACAUUCUCAUUUGACCCUCACAACAGCCCUGUGAGGUAGGCAUCACGGAUAUUCUUCUCAUUAACCAGAUGGAGACAGUAAAUCUCAGAGCAGUUCACUGAUAUGCCCAAGGCUCUACAGUUAGUGAGUGAUUUGUAUUAACAUCAGUCUUUGGCCUAAAAAUUCAGCACCCAACUUCCCCUCAUACUUGCCCACACCUACUUCACAGGGAUAAUGAAGAUAAAAUGAAUUCAGGGCUACAAAAAUACUUUGAGGGAAACAAGCACUGUAUAAUUAUACCUACAAACUAUGAUUUUCCACAAUAUAUGGCUCAUUCCUCUUCUUAUCCCAGCUUGUGUGUGAACUCAGAGUUGUAUAUUGCCUCUGUUCUGUGCUCAAUAAGCAAAUAAGGCAGGCAGGGGGUACAGUGUGAUCCUGUUUAAAGUUGCAUAAAUUACAAUCAGGGUAACUGCUGUUAUUAGGCAAAUUGAAAAACAGCAUAGAAAAGUCAGUGUGUAAGUAGGACCCACUAAAGCUCAGAGCAAAGCAAUGCAAGAUUAUCAAACAAGGCAUGAUUGCACAGAAGGAAAAUGUGGUAUCAGAGUUCAAACUGGCACACACACACAAUUAUCUAAGGCAAAGUGGUGGCAAAGAAGAGUUAUUUGUUCCAUGUUACACAAACAAGAGCAGAAGAUUCAUGGGAACCUGUACAAAAGCAUCUUGUGUCACACAGAUCUCUCCAGCUGCCUAUAGGGAAUGUACACAACAGUAUAUCACCUUCAAAGAAUGACUGUACCUAUGUUCAUAUCCUGAACUACACCAAGGAAUAGCUCCAUGCUAAACUGCCUUGGCUAAAACACAACCAGUGCCAUCAUUCCUAAUCAGACUAAUGAACAGAAUGGCUUUUAAGGUAAGGAGUUAGAUGGCUAUGUUUAGGGUGUUUUCAGGAUUUACUUUGGAUUCUCCUGCUUUAAAAUCCAAAGAAAGUUAUAUUGAGUUUUUAUUGAUGAUUCUAUGUGUUUAUAACAGAGUGUGGUAGGUGAAUUAAACAUAUUAAAAGAGUUCUAUAGCAUCUGUUUGGAAAAGAUUAUAUAUUAUACAAAGUAUUCAAGUGAUACAAAACCAUUUUUCAGUGUCUUUUCAACUGAGAAGAAUCCUAUUCAGCAUACUUCUCCUCCUGAGGUGGUUCAUACUGAGCAAGCUUUGCUUUCAGUUUUUUAUUUUUUUCUACAAUAGCUUUAUAUUUCUCUUUCGUUUUCGCCAGUUCUAGGCACAGCAGCUCUAUUUCUGGAUUUUCUGGGGUAGCAGUUCCUAAGUGAUGCUUUAAGAAAUCCAAAGCACUGUUAGGUUUCUCUGGUUCUUCAUACCAACACCUUGGUCAGUGUGUCCAGCACCCCUGACUUCUCCAAGUACCUCCGGAACUGCUCACGCUUCAAGUUGGCGGCUUUGUAAUGGGCCAUAGUGACAGCGACAGCAGCGUAGCUGGCCUGUUUUCUACAUUUAUAAUAGAAGGAAAUGCUAAACUGUAGCUCAGUAUUAAUGAAAAUAAAGGUGGAUUUUUUUUCCCAUCUAACAUUCAUAAACACAUUGAACCCUAUCCUUGGCUAUCAGUGGAUGACAGGUUAAGAACCCCUACUCUAGCUAGUUCCUACUUACUUUCAAAACUAUAUCAUUUCUUCUAAAGAACUUCACCAACCUCCCCCUAGAUACAGUUAGCUGCCACUCUUCUGUGCCCCAAGAGCACUCCACAACCUCUCCAGCCUAACACUUACCACUGGCUCUGCUUCAAUGUACUCGUUUUUCCCUCCUAUAGGAGCACACAUUCCUGAGGCAUGGGCCGUGGCUUGUGAGACUUUAUAUUACCACCAUGUAGCCCAGUAUCUGGCAUAUAGCAGGGCUCACUAGAUAUUCAAAGGGAGGAGGAAGGAAAAUUCAAAGAUAAGGGAGCCAUAGAUCAUAGACUAUGAUCUUUAAAACAGAAAAUUAAAGUUAGUAGCUUGAAGGUUUCCUUGAGUCAAAUUUCCUAUCAAUGGGAUCUUCAUAUUUCAAGGAGUAGAGAUGACCAUGUGCACCUGUUCUACUUCUCUUUCAGCGCAGCUCUCAAUUUACAGCCUCCUAAGAAAUCACAAUCCGGCACUACCGAUCUAAUAAUAAUAAUAUCCCAAUUUCAGACCUCUUUAUUUUAGGUUCUCAUUAGUACAGAUGAGGAAAAGGGGCAGCAGAGACAUGAAGAUAAAGGGCUUUCUUCACACCCUGAGCUUUUUUAGGGCUUUAUCUUUCAAAUUUUUUUAUACUUUUUAAGUUCUUGGAUUCAUGUGCAGAACGUGCAGGUUUGUUACAUAGGUAUACAUGUACCAUGGUGGCUUGCUGCACCCAUCAACCCAUCAUCUAGGUUAUCAUUCAAAUGUUAAAAGCCAGGAAAAAUGAUUUAAUUUUAAGGCACGUACAAAAUGUAUAUGUUCUCCCUAGAACUCUAUGUAUUUGAAAAUGAUUGUUAAUAUUUCCUUAAAAAAUAGAACACUAGUAAUAAAAGCCUCCUAAGUCCUCAGCACAGAUGCUUUAUGUAGAAUAAGCAUAGAUGCUUGUGCACAGCAAGGUACACUUUCAGACGUAACUCAACUUCUUCCUAUUAAUGUCACAUAAACAUUGGGACUUAUUCAUGCAUAUUCACUUAAUUUUGUAUGCAUCCCUUCUUUCCCAAUAAUAAAUACUUGCCAUUCCUACUCAAAUGAAUGGACAUUCACAUAUCAAUGUGAGGCUGCAUAUUUCUUGGGUACAAGUUGAUUUUUGAUCUACAAUGAACUUGUUUAUUAUAGGAGGAAGAAAGUAGAGAUCCACAUGGAGAUAAAAUUGGAAAAAAUUUAUAGCCAUUUUUAUUGUCUAAUAGCAGUCUUCUAUUCAAUGUUCUAAUGUAUGAGUACAGGUUGAACCAAGUCUGUGAUUAGCAUUUCAGUGGCAUUCAAUAAACCCCUACAGACUAUCCUAUUGAAAUAUACUAGUCACCCUCACAUAUUUAAGUUACUAAAUUGAAUCUGAUUUAAUAUAAAGUUCUAAGAUCUUGACUUGAAUAAAGUUUAUUUCACCUCAUCAUUUAAUAAGACACUGACCCAUUCUCACUGCAUGUAUUCUGUAAGUGAUAUCUUAUCAGGGUCCUUGGUAAGUAACCAAGGAGCAGAUGCUAAAAUAGCCUUGUGGGCCUUGGUUCAGCAUUCACCACCCUUUACCUACUGAGCAGCAAGUUGAAAAGCAGUAUUCUGAGUCCUCCUUCCCACUAACUUUCCUAAGUGGAGUGUUGGUUGUACACAGAGGAAAAGCUGGACAAUGUUUAUGAUGACAGAUGAGAAGUUACUUGCAUUGGAACUGUGGGUCAAGGAAUUGAUCUCAAAGAAGUAGUCUAUAUUUGAGCCUCUACAUCUUUUGAAAGGAAGCCCCACAGCACCAUAACUGAUAUUCCUGUACUUAGGCUUCUAAAGGUACACAACUUAUUGCAUGCUCUUUUACCUGCUACAUACCUGCAUCUCUGACUUUAUCAUUCUUUUCUUAUGUUAUGUUAUUCCUUUCAUUCCUGCUGUCUCUCCUCUUUUGAAAACAUCUUAUAUUUUGAAUUAGCUAUUACCCUAAAUUUACUGAUUUGGUAUAUAACAUUUGAGCUCUUCAGAAAAAGAAUCUACCCAAAACUAAAAGUUUAGAAGUGUGUUUAUAAGGCAAGCAAAUUGAUCUAAUACAUAUAGAGAAACAUUUGCUAAGAUUUUUUUGCAAAUAAAUGUAGUCAUUCAUAGUAGAUAUGAUAUUAGUAUUACAGCAAUAAUUUUAUACUUAUUAUCACCCUUAAUUUACAUAAUACAGUACACAUCUUUCCCAGGCAGAAAGGGAAAUAGGACACUGGAAAACAAUUCAAACAAGCAGAACAGGAAAGACAGUUUAAAUACUGUAUUAUAGUUCUUAACAAAACUUAUUUUAAAAGAAAAUAAGGCCUGGGAAAGUGUUUUGAGAAUUAUCACUUGAAGUAAAGAGAUUGUAUUAAAGCCAUUUGUUUGCAAAUUUAACAGUCAGUAGACAUUUUCAAUAAUCCACAUUUUAGAGAUUACUUGAAAACCUUAAAUACUUUCUAAACAGAAAGAAAGGUGUUACCAGUAAUUAUCAUCUAUUAAAAUAUAACCCCUGUGUCUAAUAGUAUAAUGAAUCAGAUGUGAAGAGGGAAAAACUGAAAGGAUGGAAAGGAUAAUGGAGCCAAGAGCAGGAGGCAGCUUUGGGGAUGGAUAAAGGACAAAUCAUUCCAGACAAAUAUGAUCACUGUUUUAAAUCGCAUUAUGAGAUUAAUGGAUGAAGGGAAUGCACUAGAGGUAAUAUAUAUGGAUUUUACUGAAGCAUUUGAUACACUACUCCAUGAAUUUCCACUUGCAAAAUUAAUUCAAAUUGGGUAGAAUAUGUGCAUGGUCACAUAGAUUGAAAAUUGGCUUAAGGACCAUAAACAAAGAGCAGUGACAAAUAUCGGUCCCUCACAUUUAGGUGGGAGACAGUGUCCACUGCAUUCGUGAGGACCCAUGCCCACUUUGGCAUCACACAACCACUUCACUAAUGAUCUGGGGCAAGGAAAAUGAAAGUACAGAAUUCCCAAAUCUUGGCAUGGGAAGUAUCACAAACCAAGGCACAGUUAGAGCACAAAAAGAGUUAAUAAUAGUAGAGAAUAAAAUCAAAUAUAAGCAAUACUUAACCUCUUCUAAUGACUGAAAGAAGAACAAAGAAUUACUAGAAAAAAUUGUUACAUACAAUUUUC